AUUACUUAGCAGAAUCUGGCUCUGCUGGGAUGCUGGCCUGCUUUUUGCUUUGGCUGGAAAGUCAGCUCCACUGCAAUUUCAGCCACUCUCCUUCCAGGAAAGAAGCUCUCUAUGAAAGGGUUUUAUCAGAGGCACCAGCUCUAGAAUUUCUUUAGCAAAAAUCCUGAACUCAACACCAGUCUUCCCUACUGAGCUGCUGUCUCCUUGUGUGGGCUUGGCCUCCACGUCUGCCCCCAGGGAGAGGCAGGCAGCCUGAGCCAGCCACUCCUUCAUCCCAGACCAGAGUGGCCCACAUGGAGGCUUUAAUGAUUACUGGUUUAAGCCAAGGGAAGGGUAUGGAUUUUUGCAGACAAAGCAUUCUGCUCAGAAAAUGCCUGGUAGCAAGUUGAGAAUUUUAGGAAGCAGAAAGGUAAAGAGGCAUCGCGAUGGGAGCAGGCUGUAGCCUACACCAUUCUCUUGCCCUCAUUCUUCCAGACUCCCACUCUUUGCAAAAUAGCUGUUGACCACCUGGAAUCCUGGCACUGGGCCCAAUGAUGUGGGCAGUUCAUAAGUGGACAACCAGGUCACUGUCCUCAAGGGGCUUUUGUUCUACUCAGGAAAAUAAAACUGCCACAGCCCAAUGCAAUAACAAGCAAUAGAGAACAGCAUGCAAUCUACCAUAACACCGGAGCAGAAAUGCCACACAGGGGGAAAAGCACAGAUGUUCCCAAUGCAACUGAAUUCUAGCCCAGCCACUCACUAGCAGCUGUGCGACUUUGGGCAAGUUGCUCAAACUCUCUGAGCCUCAGUCUACACAUCUCUGAAAUGGAGAUAAAAAUGCCUACCUCACAGGGCUGUUGUGAAAAAUGAAAUAAUGGCUGCAAAACAGCUGGUCAAAUGCCUGGCACAUAGCAAGUACUUAGGAAAUCAUUAUAGUCCCCUUAAUUCCUUUUAGGGCCAAGAUGUGCUAUCAAUAGAUGAAUCAUUUAUAUCUGAUCUCUAACCUCGGAGCAAAUUAGAAGCAAUAAAGUGAAAGUACUAGAAGGGCAGCUCAAAAGCAGCAAGGAAAACUCACACAUGAAAGCCUAGUGGUGAGGGAAUGCCUGGAAACAAGUAUAAAAGUAGAUGCAAAGACAAAGUAACACCUGGGGACUACCUAGUUGGGCAGCAAACAGCCACAACCUCCAAGGCCAUCAUCACAUUACAAGACAGCAGAAUAGAUGAUGUUUGUAACAAAUAUGUUCAAUAACCUCUAAGAUGCCAGGGAUGCGUGUAGCAUAUUUUAAAAGUAUUUUCAUCCAAAAUAUGUAACAUGUACAAAAUUCUCUUAAAAGUGUGUGUGGAUACUGUCCAGAAAAUUCCUCUGCCACAAUUUCCAAGUGGAUGCAUUAGCUGGGUUUUUUUUUCUACUUCUCUACUUCUCUUGUAUUUGACAGAGAGCUUAGAGUCAUGCUGAGCACAUCAGGAGGGCUUAACAAAUCCCUGUUUACUAAUGAAUCCGUACAGCACUGGAAUAUGGUUUGUUCUGUUUUCCAUUUUCAACCAUUGUAUGCAUUAACUGAUUGAGGUCAAGGAUGGGCUCCAGCUUCU
rnacentral:lncRNA from 10 species